rnacentral:rRNA from 1 species
CCUACGGGUGGCAGCAGUAGGGAAUUUUUCACAAUGGGCGAAAGCCUGAUGGAGCAACGCCGCGUGCAGGAUGAAGGCCUUCGGGUUGUAAACUGCUUUUAUAAGCGAGAAAUAUGAUGGUAACUUAUGAAUAAGGAUCGGCUAACUACGUGCCAGCAGCCGCGGUCAUACGUAGGAUCCGAGCAUUAUCCGGAGUGACUGGGUGUAAAGAGUUGCGUAGGUGGUUUCUUAAGUCAGAGGUGAAAGGCUACGGCUCAACCGUAGUAAGCCUUUGAAACUGGGGAACUUGAGUGCAGGAGAGGAGAGUGGAAUUCCUAGUGUAGCGGUGAAAUGCGUAGAUAUUAGGAGGAACACCAGUUGCGAAGGCGGCUCUCUGGACUGUAACUGACACUGAGGCACGAAAGCGUGGGGAGCAAACAGGAUUAGAUACCCGAGUAGUC